AAACUCGGGGGACUGCUGACUAUAAACUUUUCUCAAACCAGAGGAAGGUUGCGGCAAUAACAGGUCUGUGAUGCCCUCAGAUGUUCCGGGCUGCACACGUGCUACAUUUAGUAGCGCAGUGUGCACAUUAAUAGAGUGAUAGGUUCCGUGGUUUGUACAUUUUAAGGGCUCGUCCUAGUAACCAAAGCUCCACGGGACAUAUCAACCUUCCCCUUACAGGGCGGGUAACCUCUUCGAAGUGCUGGCAUGAUUUCCCUAGUUUUGGCAUUUGAAUCCUUGUCGCAGCAGCCCUGAGACGUAGUGAACGCUGCAAAGUGAUUCCAGUCUUAGGUUUGCGACACAUGCAAUUCCUGGUUGACUCAUCGUGGGGACUGAUUCUUGUAAUUAUUUUUCACGGUUCAACCAGGAAUGCCUUGUACCGGCGGCUC
rnacentral:rRNA from 1 species